CAUAGGCUUGUCAAAGAACCACCUUCCUCUGCUAAUCUUAGCUCUUUGUUUCAUUUCCUUUCACUAAUCUUGGCUGUUUGUUUCAUUUCCUUUAACCUCACUGGGCUUGUUUUGCUAGAGUAGAAAGACUCGCAAGAACGGAGGUUGGACGGGAGACUGUUCCGAGCAGGUACAAAAGACAUGCUCCAUGUCCUGGUCACCUGCUGUUUCCCAUUUAACCAUAAGAAACAGCAGGUUCCUCUUGGUUAAAGAAACCUCAGAAGAUUCCCUCACAGAAGCUGAAGAGCGAUCGCAUCGCCAGCAGCCAGGGUCCCCGGGAAGCUGUCAUGUAAGUAGAAAAAUCCUGCUCCCCUCCACUCCCACCUUAUCUUACCCCUCCCCCACUCCACAUCCCCUUCUCUAUUCCCUCAGUCUAAGUUCUGCCUCACCAGACAGACAUCAGACAAAUUUGAGGCAUUACACUCAGGGGAUAAGAUCCAACCAGACUAUGUAAUCCAAAACUUCCUAUUAUUACACCAGGGACAGGCCCAGAGAGGGCUGGUAACAUUCCACAUCCUGCUCCCUGAAUGGGUGUCAGCUCACACUUCUGUGGUUACUGUGGUGGAUGCCUGGCCAGCUUCUCCUGGGGGAAGGGCAGUUGGCAAGCACAGUGACCACCUCCAGAGGGUCUCUCCCUACUACUCCGCUCUGACUUCCUGUCCCAGAGAGGACCCCUCCCCUGUAGCAGGUGGGCCUGACAGGUUUUAGCGUCUAAGGAGUCAUCCCUGAGAUAAAACCCUCCAGCAUGUCACCUGACCCUGCCAGCCCACCCUCAUCCACAGCUUCAGAACCAACCAGUGCCAACCCAAAGGAGAAUUAUGUGAAAAGCCUGGGUCAAAAACUCACGCCCAGGACUUCCCUUGUGGUCCAGUGGUUAAGAAUCUGCUUUGUGAUGCAGGAGACAUGGGUUUGAUCCCUGGUCCGGGAACUAAGAUCCCACAUCCACAUGCCACAGAGCAACUAACCCCACAGGCCACAAUUACUGAGCCUGUGCAAUACAAUUAGAGAGUCUGUGCACUAUGAUGAAAUAUCCCUCAUGGGGAAACAAAUAUCCGAUACAGCCAAAUAAAUAAAUAUUU